AGUGAACGCUGGCGGUAGGCCUAACACAUGCAAGUCGAACGGCAGCACAGUAAGAGCUUGCUCUUACGGGUGGCGAGUGGCGGACGGGUGAGGCAUACAUCGGAAUCUACUUUUUCGUGGGGGAUAACGUAGGGAAACUUACGCUAAUACCGCAUACGACCUACGGGUGAAAGCAGGGGAUCUUCGGACCUUGCGCGAUUGAAUGAGCCGAUGUCGGAUUAGCUAGUUGGCGGGGUAAAGGCCCACCAAGGCGACGCUCCGUAGCUGGUCUGAGAGGAUGAUCAGCCACACUGGAACUGAGACACGGUCCAGACUCCUACGGGAGGCAGCAGUGGGGAAUAUUGGACAAUGGGCGCAAGCCUGAUCCAGCCAUACCGCGUGGGUGAAGAAGGCCUUCGGGUUGUAAAGCCCUUUUGUUGGGAAAGAAAAGCAGCAGGUUAAUACCCCGCUGUUCUGACGGUACCCAAAGAAUAAGCACCGGCUAACUUCGUG
rnacentral:rRNA from 1 species